AGCAUGUGGUUUAAUUCGAAGCAACGCGAAGAACCUUACCAGGCCUUGACAUGCAGAGAACUUUCCAGAGAUGGAUUGGUGCCUUCGGGAACUCUGACACAGGUGCUGCAUGGCUGUCGUCAGCUCGUGUCGUGAGAUGUUGGGUUAAGUCCCGUAACGAGCGCAACCCUUGUCCAUAGUUACCAGCACGUUAUGGUGGGCACUCUAAGGAGACUGCCGGUGACAAACCGGAGGAAGGUGGGGGAUGACGUCAAGUCAUCAUGGCCCUUACGGCCUGGGCUACACACGUGCUACAAUGGUCGGUACAAAGGGUUGGCCAAGCCGCGAGGUGGAGCUAAUCCCAUAAAACCGAUCGUAGUCCGGAUCGCAGUCUGCAACUCGACUGCGUGAAGUCGGAAUCGCUAGUAAUCGUGAAUCAGAAUGUCACGGUGAAUACGUUCCCGGGCCUU
rnacentral:rRNA from 1 species